GACCUUCAGAUGAGCUUCCACAUCAGGUGAAUCCCAGACGGACUUCUCUAGCAAUUAGACCCAAACUGGACUUCACCAACAGAAAGUCUCCAUCUGAGCUUCUACAGUAGAUGAAUCCCGCCUGUAGCAUCAGCACCUGAGGCAUCCGACAACAGUAGACUCGUCAGCAGCCUCGAAAAUAUUCGAGCUUCUCCCAGAUCGACGGGAC
rnacentral:lncRNA from 1 species